rnacentral:tRNA from 1 species
AUUUAAAUAGCUUAUUGAUUUAGAGCAUAAUAUUGAAGAUAUUAGGGAGAUAAUAAUAAUUAUUUUUAAAUA